rnacentral:rRNA from 1 species
AUGGCGCCGCCAGGCGAGAGCGGCGGCCCCAGCAACGGCGGCGCGCGCCGGAAGAACCUGACGGCCGCCCUCAGGCUGUUCCUCGUGUGCAUGGUCUCCGGCGGCAUCCAGUACAUCUGCGCCCUAGAGAUGUCCCUCCUCUCGCCCUACUCCCAGAAUCUUGGGAUUCCUCACAAGUAUGCUUCCAUGAUCUGGAUUGGCGGACCGAUCGCAGGAUUUCUGGUAAACCCCAUCGUGGGCUACUAUAGCGACCGAUGCACCAUGAGGAUAGGACGCAGGAGGCCCUUCAUCAUCCUAGAAUGCCUCAUCAUAUGCAUCUCUGGCAUGCUCAUUGGUUUCUCCGCGGACAUUGGGCAAUACCUUGGCGACACCAAAGAGAACUGCAGCACCUACACCGGCCCUCGCUGGGCUGCCACGGCGGUGUACGUCGUCGGCUUCUUGUUGCUGGACUGCGUCAUCCAUACCGCACAGGCGUCGGUUCGAGCAAUGAUGUCUGACCUAUCCGCUGCGAAUCAUGGCCCUAGUGUCGGCCAGGCGAUCUUCUCCGUGUGGAUGGCCAUCGGCAGCAUCCUUGGCUACGCAGUCGUUGCCUACGGAACAUGGCACCAGUGGUUCCCCUCUCUGAAAUCUAGCGCGUGCUGCAACGCUUGCGCAGAUCUUAAGGGCGCUUUCUUGACUGCUGUGGUGCUCAUUGUCAUCAGCACAGUAGUGACCAUGCUCCUCGCUGAUGAGCAGUCCCUCGAUAAUGAGGGUGUUGGCGGUGCCGCCUUUGCUCAAACUUGCGGCAGCCUCGACGCAUUCAUCGACCUCUUCGCGAGCUUGAAGAACAUGAGUCCUGCCAUGUUCAGAGUGCUCGCUUUAACAGCCUUCACCUGGCUCUCCUGGUUCCCGUUCCUGCAGUAUAACACGGACUGGAUGGGUCGCGAGAUUUACCACGGCAACCCGAACGGGGUGGCUGACAUGGCCGCCGACAAAUACAAUGCCGGUGUCCGCGAAGGAGCCAUUGGGCUCCUCCUCUGCUCGGCCUCCCUCGGGGCUACCUCCUUCCUCAUCCCCAAGCUAUGCCGCAAGCUGACGUCCAAGGUCAUCUGGUCCAUCAGUCUCUUCUCAGUGUUCCUCAUCAUGGCAGGGAUGGUUGCCGUCGGCGUCGUCUCGACAAAGGGGUACGACCCGUCUCUGAGCACCAGCCUCACCGUCGCUGGCCCCGACAACAGUCUCAAUGCCCUAGCGCUCACCAUGUUUGCGCUCAUCGGGAUCCCACAGGCUGUGUUGUACAGUGUUCCAUGGGCGGUCGCCGCUCAGCUCGCGGCGGGGGAGGGUGGUGGCCAAGGAGUCACCGUUGGUGCGAUCACCAAUGUUAUAUCCCUAGCGCAACUGCUAGUCGGCCUCACUGCCGGUCCGAUAGACGGGGCCUUCAACAAGGGCAACGCACCGGCCUUUGGUAUCGGUGGUGUCAUCGCCUUCAUAUGUGCUAUCCUGGUGGUGCUGGCGCUUCCAGAUACCAAGGACGGCAGGGGGCUAAAAAGACUGUUAUUGAGCAGGGAAGAUUGGUCAAAUUGA